rnacentral:rRNA from 1 species
AUUGAACGCUGGCGGCAUGCUUUACACAUGCAAGUCGGACGGCAGCACAGAGAAGCUUGCUUCUUGGGUGGCGAGUGGCGAACGGGUGAGUAACAUAUCGGAACGUACCGAGCAGUGGGGGAUAACUGAUCGAAAGAUUAGCUAAUACCGCAUAUAUUCUGAGGAAGAAAGCAGGGGACCAUUUGGCCUUGCGCUGUUUGAGCGGCCGAUAUCUGAUUAGCUAGUUGGUGGGGUAAAGGCCUACCAAGGCGACGAUCAGUAGCGGGUCUGAGAGGAUGAUCCGCCACACUGGGACUGAGACACGGCCCAGACUCCUACGGGAGGCAGCAGUGGGGAAUUUUGGACAAUGGGCGCAAGCCUGAUCCAGCCAUGCCGCGUGUCUGAAGAAGGCCUUCGGGUUGUAAAGGACUUUUGUCAGGGAAGAAAAGGGUGGGGUUAAUACCCCUGUCUGAUGACGUACCUGAAGAAUAAGC